AUACGGAGGACGCGAGCGUUAUCCGGAUUCAUUGGGUUUAAAGGGUGCGCAGGCGGCCGUGCAAGUCAGCGGUGAAAGCCCGGGGCUCAACCCCGGAAGUGCCGUUGAUACUGCAUGGCUGGAAUGCGGUCGAGGCGGGCGGAACGGGGCGUGGAGCGGUGAAAAGCGUAGAUAUGCCACAGAAAGCCGAUAGCGGAGGCGGCUCGCCAGGCCUGCAUUGACGCUCGGGCACGAAAGCGUGGGGAUCGAACAGGAUUAGAUACCCUGGUAGUCCACGCCGUAAACGAUGGGCGCUCGUCGUCGGCGGCAGACAGUCGACGGCCAAGCGAAAGCGAUAAGCGCCCCACCUGGGGAGUACGGUCGCAAGGCUGAAACUCAAAUGAAUUGACGGGG
rnacentral:rRNA from 1 species